rnacentral:rRNA from 1 species
UACGUAGGGGGAAAGCGUUAUCCGGAAUCACUGGGCGUAAAGGGUGCGUAGGCGGCUAUUUAAGUCAGAUGUGAAAACCAAGGGCUCAACCCAUGGAUUGCAUUUGAAACUGGAAAGCUUGAGGACAGGAGAGGAUAGUGGAAUUCCUAGUGUAGCGGUGAAAUGCGUAGAUAUUAGGAGGAACACCAGUGGCGAAGGCGACUCUCUGGACUGUAACUGACGCUGAGGCACGAAAGCGUGGGGAGCGAACAGG